rnacentral:rRNA from 1 species
UACAGAGACUGCAAGCGUUAUUCGGAUUCACUGGGCGUAAAGGGUGCGCAGGCGGCCAAGUGUGUUAGGCGUGAAAGCCCCGGGGCUUAACCCCGGAAUUGCACCUAAAACUACAUGGCUAGAGCAUUGGAGAGGGUAGCGGAAUUCACGGUGUAGCAGUGAAAAUGCGUAGAUAUCGUGAGGAACACCAGAGGCGAAGGCGGCUACCUGGACAAUUGCUGACGCUCAGGCACGAAAGCGUGGGGAGCAAAAGGG